GACGAACGCUGGCGGCGUGCUUAACACAUGCAAGUCGAACGGAAAGGCCCUGCUUUUGUGGGGUGCUCGAGUGGCGAACGGGUGAGUAACACGUGAGUAACCUGCCCUUGACUUUGGGAUAACUUCAGGAAACUGGGGCUAAUACCGGAUAGGAGCUCCUGCUGCAUGGUGGGGGUUGGAAAGUUUCGGCGGUUGGGGAUGGACUCGCGGCUUAUCAGCUUGUUGGUGGGGUAGUGGCUUACCAAGGCUUUGACGGGUAGCCGGCCUGAGAGGGUGACCGGCCACAUGGGGACUGAGAUACGGCCCAGACUCGUAGGGGAGGCAGCAGUGGGGAAUAGUGCACAAUGGGCGGAAGCCUGAUGCAGCAACGCCGCGUGCGGGAUGACGGCCUUCGGGUUGUAAACCGCUUUCGCCUGUGACGAAGCGUGAGUGACGGUAAUGGGUAAAGAAGCACCGGCUAACUACGUG
rnacentral:rRNA from 1 species